CCAAUAGCGUAUAUUAAAGUUGCUGCAGUUAAAAAGCUCGUAGUUGAAUUUCGGGACCAUCAUGUCGGUCGUGCCUCGGUACGUACUGGUAUUGUUGGUUUCUCCCUUCUGACGAACCAUGAUGUCAUUUAUUUGGUGUUGUGGGGAAUCAGGACUGUUACUUUGAAAAAAUUAGAGUGUUUAAAGCAGGCUCACGCUUGAAUACAUUAGCAUGGAAUAAUGAAAUAGGACGUUUGAUUCUAUUUUGUUGGUUUCUAGGAUCGACGUAAUGAUUAAUAGGGAUAGUUGGGGGCAUUAGUAUUCAAUUGUCAGAGGUGAAAUUCUUGGAUUUAUUGAAGACUAACUACUGCGAAAGCAUUUGCCAAGGAUGUUUUCAUUAAUCAAGAACGAAAGUUAGGGGAUCGAAGACGAUCAGAUACCGUCGUAGUCUUAACCAUGAACUAUGCCGACUAGGGAUCGGAUGAUGUUAAUUUUUUAAUGACUCAUUCGGCGCCUUACG
rnacentral:rRNA from 1 species